CUGAAGUUGACAAAAAAGUUCAGUUGCACACUUUUAAUGAUAGUGUGUGUUCUGGUCAAGAUGUUUUCCGAAUUGGAAGAGACGAAAAUCUGGAUCUAACAAUAACCCAUGGUAGAGUGGAAUACAUGAUUCCAGAUUGGUAUGAGAGGUGUCAUUACAUGUAUUUUUCCCGUCAUACAAGUCACAAUAUGUUUCAAGAUGAUGGAGGGGCCAUGAUUGAUGGGAAACGCUUCCUAUCCGAAGUCUGAUAGGAAACUUUCAUCAGACUGCUCCUGUGUCGUUGAUUCUUUCCUAAUCCAGCGGUCCGUAUUAAGAAGCAAAUCUUCAAUCCGUCAAUUAAUCACAAAAUUUACCUCUCCCGAGUUAAUCUCGCCCCACCUGCCCCGCCCCACCAAGCUCAUCCCCGAGCUGGCCGCGGCGUCUACCUCCGCCACCAUCGUUCCGCACAAAAAGAAACUGCGACAAGUACAGCUCAUCCACGUCUUGAUGAUCCGGCGUCCCGCCCUCGUCUGCUUCGUCGUUCCCUGAUGUCACCAUCGACCACGUAAACCCCAUCGCCACUCCGAUCCCUCACCAGACCGUGCCCCGUCACCACCACUUCCACCGCACGGGUGCGCCAUUUUGGCUAGGCAAGGAAGAUGCAUGCACAUCCAAAGCGUCGGCCCCUGGCACUGGUAUGCACCCAGCCGAAAACUAUGGCCCUCAACAAUAACAUGCCAACGGCGGCUUCAUGUUGCAGCUGGCUGCCUCAGAUGUCCCUUGUUCCAAUGGUGACGGCGGUCACUAAUCUGUACGAAAUCAGUCCUCCCUUGUCUCAUCUUCCCUAGUUGAUACAUUUUUCAUCUCGAAUUGGUAUACUCCCUCUGUCUAGGUGUGUAAGUCAUCUUACACAAACCAAAUAAUCCCAAAACACUUGAGUGUGGUUUUUCACGGUGCACCCAAUAUCCAAGCCGUCUGUGAGUGUUUCCUCACCUCGAGAUCGUCCAGCACAGUGAAACGAGUGAACAAUUAAUCCUGUACGUAAACAGUAAUCCCGCGCGGGAGAGACGACCGAUUCAAAUUGUUCUGGGCCGAAAUAGCUCACUGUUCACCGUCGCGGUCUGACUGAUGUGACCUUACAUGUACUGCUAGCUGUCGCCCCUGUCCAUCAAUAGCAGCGAUGCCAAACCAGCCCGUUCAAUUGUGUGCACCCAAUAUCCAGGCCGUCAGUGAGUGCUCCCUUCACACAUCUCACCCCGUCCCCUCUCUCUCUUCUUAGUCUUCCAUGUGAGCAGAAUCCAUGGAAGCCGAGCCCAGCUACCUUGCUUCCCUGGCGAUGAUGGAUGGGGGAGCAGAUGAUUUCUGCAUCGAGCCCGUAGCAGAGCCGCACGGCGACCAGAUCCCUAGCGCUCGAUAUAUCGAUCUGUUUGAGCUUGUAGUUUGGCCAGGUGGAGAGGAAAAUGGUACACAUGUGCCAGCAUCAAGGAGCUGUGCCGCCACCACCGCUGUAUCAGAUUCCGCCGGCGGUUGUAAUCCGGACGGAGCCAUCCAGAUCCCGGCGGUCUCAGCCGAUGGAGCCAUUCAGACCCCAACUAUCUCAACAGGCAGAGCGGACGGAGCCAUCCAGACCCGGGCUGUCUUAGCGGACGGAGCCAUCUAGACCCCUGCUGUCUCAGCGGACGGGGGCAUCCAGACCCCAGCUAUCUCAGCAAAGCAACCCAUGGCCGUCGUCGGGAGUUGGAAGAAGAGGUACCAAUGUUGUCUUUGCAUAUCCAUCGAACACCUAACUUAGGUUGAAUUUUUUGCGGAACCAUCUGGUGGAGUUCCACCUAGUUUCAUUCUGCCGUUUGACUGGCUUUUUAUCCAUAAAUCGGCUGGAAUAUGAUGCCUAGAAUGUUGGAUCGCACAAUGAAAAUAACACUAUGCAUUCGUUGUGGUUAAUUUUCCAAUACUGCUGUGAGGUGUGACAUCAACACAGGAAGUUUCCAUGUAUAUAAAUGUUUUGUCUGGGCAUCUGUUAUAUUUAGAUUCAUAUCAAUAUUCAUGUUUGAUUGUGAUUAUUUUGACAUUGAAACCUCGUCAAGAGUUCUGCACCCUCAUCACACUCACGCUACUGUUAGCAACUUAGCAUUCAACCAUACAUAGAAUCUGAUAACACUA